GACCUUAAGAUUUAACGACGCGCUCAUCUACAACGCGAGCGGAAAUGAAUUUUAAACCAAUGCGCAUGUGCGUGCGUCGUUGAGUUUUGUCUUGCUUCUACAACGCGGCGUCUUUGCUUAAUCCCACGUCGUCCUACAUCGAGGGUGGAAUUUUUCACAAAAAAAGUUUUAAACAAGGCAAGAAAAUGGCAGAACAGUUUUCAUCGUGAUUUAAAUUAAUUGCUUAGCUAAAUUAACAUCCAGUGGCUUUGAAAUUUGUCUUACUUUGUAAUAACGGGUAUGUCGCCGGUUUUUUGCUAAUUGUGAAUACGUACAGAAAGCACACAAACAAGGACAUCGUUCUAGAAUUAUGAAUACAUUCAAGAUACGUUUGCAAUAAGUUUGUUCAAGCGAAAACAGCAUCAGGAUAAAUAUUGUGACAGAGAUAACUCACGCUGGUCUUUUACAACAUAUUUUCUUCGGCCUUGCUCAUACCAUAAUGAAUGUUCAAAAAUUUUGUUACCUACCCUUAAUUUGAUACUUUACUUCGAUUUCGUGCACGUCUGCUCUCGCCCAUUUGAGUGUCAAAGUGUUUGUGUCGCAUCGAACACACGCAUCGAAGACUUAAGUGGACUUCUUUGUUUGCCAUUGGUCAUUGUCGCCGAAGAGAACCACGUGAUCGAAUUAGAACGCAGCAUUAACAACUAAAUAAUCUACGAGUCAGCUGAAAGUUGUGGAAGCCAGAAAUUAAUAAGACUAAAAUUCUAUUGGUGUUCAGUGGAUCAUUAAAUGUGAAUGCUUGUUUUUAAUACGUGCCUGACAGAGUGUAUGGAUACUGAUGUGUUGAACUGGUCUUUUUAAAAUGAAACUAUUCAUCACGUGUCAAUAAUAUCAAUUCGAUCUUGAUUCCAAUUUCCAUCGAAAUUGAACUAUGUGGGUUUGUAUGUAUUUUGCAAAUUCGUCACAAUGGUCAGUUAAUUGUACUACUUGCUACGUUAAGUACAGUUAUACAUAAAUGUAAACCAUGUCACACAAAACUUCAAUCUAAACACAUAUUUUAUAAGGCUACCAUCAAAAGAGGGUCCUUAUUUUAUAAUCGCAAAUAAAAAUUUCUAAAUAUGUGUAGAUAUAUAUUUUUCUCAUGAAUAUGAAUAAUUGUUUUCAAGCUAGAUAGACUAGUACUUAAUAAUAUACAUCGAGAUUUGUAUGAUAAA